rnacentral:lncRNA from 1 species
GCCGUUCAGCCUCUGUGGUUCAGCAGAGGUGGUUCAGUAAAGUCGCAUAUUUAUUUUGACAAAGAAACGUUUCGCCUUUUGGUCGUUUUGGAACGUUUUUUGAUAAAUAUACAUUAUUAUCAGAAUGUUUUCUGUUCUCUUUUGGUUCACGUCGUUUCUGAACGGAAUAUGUAAAGAUUCCGUUGAUUUCCCAACGGUAUAAUGAACACGUACAAACGUCUGUUACGACUGCAUGCUCACAUGCAUGUCACUAUUAUAUUAGUUUAACUAAUAUGUUUAUUUUGAUAUUUUCUAUAAUCUUUGCUUCGUAAAUGUAUAUGUACAGUUGUGGACAACGCAUGAGAACUAUGUUUUUCCGUACAACAUGUUACAGUAUUCUCAUAUUCUGUAUAGGAUGAUGAUGAUGCAACUCCAUCGCGACAAGAACGAAGGGCGAGUGAGAACUUAAACGUGGAGUCCAAGGAAGAGAAAGUGAGUUAGCUUACAAAGUUGU